GUGCUCACUUCAGCAGCACAGACAUCCAAAUUGGAAAGAUACAGAAAAGAUUAGCAUGGCC
ensembl:snRNA U6 U6 spliceosomal RNA